AGCGAUGCAACCAAAAAUUCUGAAAUGAUCUACUGUUGGUUUCGUCAACUCCAUGCCUCUUCUAAUGUCAUGUUUGGGGCAAAAAAAGUAAGACUUCUAUUCAAGACAUGGAUGCUUCAAUUCACUGCUUCUGGCCAAAAAGGCAAAAACUCUUAAGAAUGCUCCUUCUUCCUAACGAGAUUCUCGCCAUUAGGGCUGGUCAUCCGGUUCAAACUGAACUGUCAAAAACUAAAUUAAUUAAAUUUAUAAAUAUUACAAAUUGAAUCGUACCGAAUUACAGGAAAAGACCAAUUCGGUUCGAUUCAUCGGUUAUGGGUUGAAUUGUUUCAAAGAAUUUUUAACAAUUAUAUAUAUUACCCAGUAGAGAACUAAAGAUAAAUUUUAUUCCAACCAAAAUCAAAAUCCCAAUUCUCAAGCAAUUGCAAAUGGAAACAAACAAUAU
rnacentral:misc_RNA from 1 species